GGGGGCGACCUGGCUUCGACGUGGGUCGCGAAGCAGUACAGUGCAUACCGAGGACCAGUGACCUCGUAAAUCCAUCUGGAAACUUACAAACGCCAACGACGAGCGUUUCGCUCUCGCCGCUUAACACCGGCGAGCCCUGCACCGGUCUGCCGAUGGGCCGGGUCGCGCAAGCGGCAGCAGGGUAAUCCACACCGGCUAAGG
rnacentral:tmRNA from 1 species